CCGGAAUUAUUGGGUUUAAAGGGUGCGUAGGCGGCUAUUUAAGUCAGCGGUGAAAUUUUGCAGCUUAACUGUAACAGUGCCGUUGAAACUGUUUAGCUAGGAUUUGGUUGCAGUGUGCGGAAUGUGUGGUGUAGCGGUGAAAUGCUUAGAUAUCACACAGAACACCAAUUGCGAAGGCAGCACACUAAGUCAAUAUUGACGCUGAGGCACGAAAGUGUGGGGAUCAAACAGGAUUAGAUACCCUGGUAGUCCACACUGUAAACGAUGAUAACUCGCUGCCGGCGAUACAUUGUCGGUGGCCAAGCGAAAGCAUUAAGUUAUCCACCUGGGGAGUACGACCGCAAGGUUGAAACUCAAAGGAAUUGACGGGGGCCCGCACAAGCGGAGGAACAUGUGGUUUAAUUCGAUGAUACGCGAGGAACCUUACC
rnacentral:rRNA from 1 species